AUCUGGAAAAUGUCCCAUUUUGACGUCUCGUUGAGAAUGUCACCGAAUCACUGCGAUCUUCGUCUUCUGCAUCUCUACUUCUUCUCCGCUCCAAUGUCCGAUCAUACUCAUUCGCUCCAUACCCAGUUCACAUAAACCCUAAAAAUCGCUUUUUUUUUUUUCCCUUCACGAAAAUGACCUUCUCGGCUACAUUGGUCACUCCUUCCGACCAUUUGUUCUCGUUCUCCGACGCUCGCUCUCUCUCGCUGUGCCGUCGCUUCCCCAUCUUCGUCAGACUUGGCAAUCUCCGAUGCUCGAGGCAUAGGCCGCUUCGCCUCUCGGCUUCGCUCGCCGAGAGAAGAAGCCUCGACCUCUCGUGGGCCGACAGUGAUUGCGCGAGCUCCGAUUCCGAUUUCAAUGGCUGGGCCGCGGUCGAAUCUCAGCCCCAGAGGAAGAGAAAGGGAGUGCCAACGUAUGCUAUUGGGGCCGUUGGGACUUCACUCACUGUUUUGGUUGCUGUAAUUGCUCAUUACUCACUUUCUAGAAAUGGGUAUAGUUUCCACUUCUUCGAUCGGUUGCGUUCUUGGAGAAGUCUGUCGAAUCAGACUGAAACUGAAGCUUAUCUAAGUGAAGAAUUGGAUGCCGGUUUAUCGGACGGAAAGAGCUUUCUCUCCCAGAAUAGCCCAGCGGGUUUAUCUGAUUCAGUCAGCAACAAUGUGGUUUCAGACAGCUCAGCCUCAAGGAAUAAGCAGGAGCGAGUUAUAGUUCCAGUUGCUGUAGAUCCUACCCAGCAGGAAGCUGUGAUGGUUCUGGAAAGACUGAAGAUCAUGGAAGAAGACAUCAAGGCCAAUGAAUUAUGCACUAGAAGGGAAUAUGCUAGAUGGCUUGUUCGAUUAAGUUCUUCACUGGAAAGGAACCCAAAACAUAGAAUUUUUCCGUCUUUGUCACUUUCUGGGUCUAAAGUCGCUGCCUUUGAUGAUGUGAGUGUUGAAGACCCGGACUUCGGUGCCAUCCAAGCGCUAGCAGAGGCUGGUAUCAUCUCUAGCAAGCUCUCAGGGGAAAAUUCCAGUUCUUUCUUCUCAGAUAGGCACGGCAUGUUAUUCUUUCCCGAGAGGUUCAUCUCACGGCAAGAUCUGAUAAACUGGAGAGUGCAAUUAGAAUAUGAUUUUGUCCCAGGACUAGAAGAAGAGAUAUCAAAGAAAAAAGUUGGCUUCAUGGAUACGAGGGAGAUCAGUGCAAAUAUAUCGGCAGAAUUUUUCAUGGACUUGUUGGCUGGUGACAGGAGCAUAAUGAGAAAAGUUUUUGGACAGAGCAGGCGAUUUCAACCUAAUAAACCUUCCACGAAAGCACAAGCUGCUAUAGCAUUGACCAGUGGCCGGAUGACGUCAGCAAUUCAGACGGAACUAGCAAGACUGGAGACUGAGAAUUUUUCGAGGGUGGUUGAGAUGGAAGAAAUUAGGUUUGAGUUAAUUGAAAGGGGUGACAUAAAAAGGCUUUGGGAUGAGAGGCUGAAAGAAGAAGAAACCCGCGGUUUGGAAGUUGAAAAGGACUAUCUUGUGGUAAUUGAUGAUUUAGAGCAAGAGAAGAUAAUUCAGGAGACGACCUUCCAAGAGCAUACGAAAGAGAAAGCAGCUUUGGAUUGUCAGAAGCAACUGAUUUGCCACCUUAGAGAAGAAGUUGAUGAGAUGUCAGACAGACUGGCAUCAGAGAGAGCUAUCUAUGUUCGUGAGCAAUUUGAGAUGCAGGAUACUAUCAGUGAUUUAGAGACCAAGCAUGAAAGGAUGCUGGAUACAAAAUCUAUUCUGGGAGCUGAGAUAGAAGCUUUGCGGAUACUUAGGUAAUGUACCUUGGUGGAUAAUUUGAAAGCAUGCAUACUCAACACAGUUACUCCAGCUCCUAUUAAAAGGCUCGCAUACCAGUCAUAAGGUUCCGGCUUGCGUGUCUUGGGUAGAAGAUGAAGCAAGGAAAAGCCAAGCUCGUGCCAAGGUGCUAGAGGAGCUUGGAAGAAGGUGGAGAUGGGAUGGCCAAGCAUGAUAAAGAAGUGUACAGUGGGUGGCUACUUGAAGUGCUUCUAGCUUAACAGCUACAACUGCAAACUUCCGAUUGACCUUUCAUGCAUUACACAUUCCGGCUAGCGCUAGAUGCGGCUAUAGGAUAUAAUUUUUUUUUUCUGGCAGGACAAAGAAGGUUGAUUUUGCUCUCUUUCUUCCCUCGGAAUCCCCCCGGCACUGUGCGUCCCUCUAUGUGUGUGUCUAUAGACUGUCUGAAAAGAAAUCCUUUGAACAGUUGACACCGAGACUCGAGAUUCUUUGGUCAUUUUUCUUAUCA